GAUGAACGCUGGCGGUAUGCUUAACACAUGCAAGUCGAACGGGGACCUUCGGGUCCUAGUGGCGGACGGGUGAGUAACGCGUGAGAACAUGCCUUUAGAUUGGGGACAACAGUUGGAAACGACUGCUAAUACCGAAUGUGCCUUAGGGUGAAAGAUUAAUUGUCUAAAGAUUGGCUCGCGUCAGAUUAGCUAGUUGGAGUGGUAACGGCACACCAAGGCGACGACCUGUACUUGGUCUGAGAGGAUGACCAGGCACACUGGAACUGAGACACGGUCCAGACUCCUACGGGAGGCAGCAGUGGGGAAUUUUCCGCAAUGGGCGCAAGCCUGACGGAGCAAUCUCGCGUGAGGGAUGACGGCCUAUGGGUUGUAAAACCCUCUUUUUUCAGGGAGGAAUAAAGUGACGUGUACCUGAAGAUAAGCAUCGGCUAACUCCGCGCCAGCAGCCGCGGUAACU
rnacentral:rRNA from 1 species